rnacentral:rRNA from 1 species
UACGUAGGAUGCAAGCGUUGUCCGGAAUUAUUGGGCGUAAAGAGCUCGUAGGCGGUGUGUCACGUCGGCCGUGAAAACCUGCAGCUUAACUGUGGGCGUGCGGUCGAUACGGGCAUCACUGGAGUUCGGCAGGGGAGACUGGAAUUCCUGGUGUAGCGGUGAAAUGCGCAGAUAUCAGGAGGAACACCGGUGGCGAAGGCGGCGAUCUGGGUCGAUACUGACGCUGAGGUGCGAAAGCGUGGGGAGCAAACAGG